GCCACACGCAUGCACACAGCACCAGGCCCCCAGAGGUAAAAAUCACCAACUGGAAUCAGCCUUGUCCACAGCGAGACCUUGCUUGCUUCUUACGGGAAACGGAGACCAUGACAGUGACCGCAGGAUGAUGUGUGCAUGGAAGGUUGGCUAAGAAAGGCCUAGGGGCAGAGAGGGCUGGCACAUGCACACCUGUUACCAAGGGACCAGAGCGUCUUGUCCACCGGCCCCCGCCUCCCCUCAGCCAGGGGCCCUGAGGCCACUAGCAGGUGAAAGAGAAGGAACCAGCAUGGGUGGAAGGAGGGGUCGUGCCUGGAUGAUCACUAGUUUUGACCACGCACCCACCAGCCCUUGGUGGGUCCCGGCCUGGGGCUCCUGGUAGGGAGAAGUUGGAUGUCAGGGGCUGGUGGGAAGGGCAAGCCCGCUGUCAGCCCCUCCUCCAAGGGACUCAGCCUGGGGCAGCCUUGAGUUCCAGAUCCCCAACACGCAGCAAGAGGGUCCCACCACUGACCAAGCAGCGUCUAUGGGCCCUUCUUCCUUUCACAGUUGUGGGAGAGGAGUGGCCUGGUGAAGACCCUGAGUCCUGCUCAGCUCCCCGUUCUGCUGGAGCACCGACGGUGCUCCCAGAGCAGGGCAGGCACUAGCUGACACAGGGGGACAAGAGUCCCAGGGGACACGGCUGCCCAUUGGGGCCCAGCCGACCUGGACGCCAAGGACGCAGCUCCGCCUGGUCACGGUGCAGCAGCAUGUGCCACCAGGACACAAGGCCAGGGCAAGGGGCAUAUAUUCCAGGUAUCCCCACCCUCCAGCUACCGAAAGAACAGAACAGCCUGGAGGACAUCCCUGUAGAAGUUCUGCUGCGUGUGGUCCAGCCGUCCCCACUCCUCCCGGGAGAGGUACAAGGCCACAUCCUCGAAAGUCACUGGCAUCUGAAACAAUGUGAAACAUCCACUCUCCAGGACAUGACGUGGACACGGUGGAGGGACACCAUGGCAUGAGAUGUGUGGUGAGACCCCGGACUCCCAACCCACUGUGUCGAGUGAGGCCUGCCACUUCCAUCUGAUCGGGAAGCAGGUGAGCCACCCAAGGCCUUCUGGGGAGUUGAGAAAGAACAAAGACCAAGAGGUAUUUUCAGGGAUCACAGUUAAGACUUAGGAUGUCCAUGCAGCCCCCAGCCUCAGCUGAGACCUCGGAGGACGGUUCCCAACGGCUACCAGCGAGAGGCCCUGU
ensembl:lncRNA ZNF213-AS1 ZNF213 antisense RNA 1 (head to head)